AGAUUGAACGCUGGCGGCAUGCCUUACACAUGCAAGUCGAACGGUAACGCGGGGCAACCUGGCGACGAGUGGCGAACGGGUGAGUAAUGCAUCGGAACGUGCCCAGUAGUGGGGGAUAGCUCGGCGAAAGCCGGAUUAAUACCGCAUACGACCUAAGGGUGAAAGCGGGGGACCGUAAGGCCUCGCGCUAUUGGAGCGGCCGAUGUCAGAUUAGGUUGUUGGUGGGGUAAAAAGCCUACCAAGCCGACGAUCUGUAGCUGGUCUGAGAGGACGACCAGCUACACUGGGACUGAGACACGGCCCAGACUCCUACGGGAGGCAGCAGUGGGGAAUUUGGACAAUGGGGGCAACCCUGAUCCAGCCAUGCCGCGUGCGGGAAGAAGGCCUUCGGUUGUAAACCGCUUUUGUCUAGGGAAGAAACGCUCUGGUUAAGUACCUCGGGUAAUGACGGUACCUGAAGAAUAAGCACCGGCUAACUACGUGACCAGCA
rnacentral:rRNA from 1 species